ACUUCAGCUAAGACACCACUUAGGACGUGC
rnacentral:piRNA from 1 species